AUGAGCAAGUGGUGGUGCAUCGCCUCCCUCCUGCUGUGCCUCGCCGUGGCGGUGGCCGGCAGGGGCAUGCCUGCCGGGGACGACUGCGACACCGUUGCUCUUGCUGCCGGUCGCAACAACCAAGACGGUGCUGGUUUCGGCGAAGCCAAGACCGCCUUUGCUGGGAGCAACGGUGGUGACGGCGGCCUCUUCGGCGGUGCCGUCAACGGUGGCCCUCUCGGCGGGGGCGUCGCUGGCUUUGGUCCGCACGGCGGGUUUGGUGCCGGCGCUGGGCCCUUCGGUGGGUUUGGCGGCGGCUUCGGCGCUGGUGGCGGAGGUGGAGGAGGGGGAGGCGGUGGCGUGAUACCUUGA
rnacentral:rRNA from 1 species